ensembl:lncRNA KIF5C-AS1 KIF5C antisense RNA 1
CGGAGUGGCCGCCUCCCACCACAGGGCCCCCUAAUGGGCGCUUUUGUCCUGCGGGGCAGAGGGACCUCAUUAGAAGGCGCUGGUGCUAAAGGGAAAUGCAUUUCCAGAACAGGAGGUUUCAUCAUUCCUAGCGUUAGCGACAGAAUGGUGACAGAAGCAUUCAGAGAGGAGAGAAAAAAGUCGGCCCUGGAAGCCAUCCCAGGAAACCAGACCCUACAGAGGUCAGCCUGUCACAGAGGGCAGAUGCAGGAAGGAACUGACAGCCUCACUCGGGAUCCUGCCCACCAGGAACCAGGACUGGAAGAGGUUUGGAUACUGACCAGAUUGGCAUUUGUCCCUGACUAUGGGACAAGAGGUGGCUGUAAAAGGGGAACAAAAGUCCCUUCCCCCAUGACUAUCCAAAGUUUCUAAUAUCGAUGGAGUUGUUAUGUGCCCAGAUUCCCAGGUGAAAAUCAAUAAUCUCUUAGGAGUGAGGUGCCAGACAGGUUGUUCAGAGAAAAACUAUGAUAUAAUCUCCUCAGAGAAUUGAAGCCGACUGCUUGGCAAAAUAAGACCUGGAAAUGGGAGAGACCAGUAAAAGACUAAGCCUGACAAAGGAAGAGUCCCACCAUGUGUCAAUACAGAAUUGUGUAACGAACAUCUUCAAAUAAAAUG